rnacentral:rRNA from 1 species
UACGUAGGGUCCGAGCGUUGUCCGGAAUUAUUGGGCGUAAAGGGCUCGUAGGCGGUUUGUCGCGUCGGGAGUGAAAACACGGGGCUUAACCCCGUGCCUGCUUCCGAUACGGGCAGACUAGAGGUAUGCAGGGGGAGAACGGAAUUCCUGGUGUAGCGGUGAAAUGCGCAGAUAUCAGGAGGAACACCGGUGGCGAAGGCGGGUCUCUGGGCCGAAACUGACGCUGAGGAGCGAAAGCGUGGGGGAGCGAACAGG